rnacentral:rRNA from 1 species
UGGGGAAUAUUGGACAAUGGGCGAAAGCCUGAUCCAGCCAUGCCGCGUGUGUGAAGAAGGUCUUCGGAUUGUAAGCACUUUAAGUUGGGAGGAAGGGCAGUAAGCGAAUACCUUGCUGGUUUGACGGUACCGACAGAAUAAGCACCGGCUAACUCCGUGCCAGCAGCCGCGGUAAUACAGAGGGUGCAAGCGUUAAUCGGAAUUACUGGGCGUAAAGCGCGCGUAGGUGGUUCGUUAAGUUGAAUGUGAAAGCCCCGGGCUCAACCUGGGAACUGCAUCCAAAACUGGCGAGCUAGAGUAGGGCAGAGGGUGGUGGAAUUUCCUGUGUAGCGGUGAAAUGCGUAGAUAUAGGAAGGAACACCAGUGGCGAAGGCGACCACCUGGGCUCAUACUGACACUGAGGUGCGAAAGCGUGGGGAGCAAACAGG